UGGGGAAUUUUUCGCAAUGGGGGCAACCCUGACGAAGCAACGCCGCGUGGGUGAUGAAGUAUUUCGGUACGUAAAACCCUUUCGACGGGGACGAAACCGCAAGGUUGACGGUACCCGUAGAAGAAGCCCCGGCUAACUCCGUGCCAGCAGCCGCGGUAAUACGGGGGGGGCAAGCGUUGUUCGGAAUUACUGGGCGUAAAGGGCGCGUAGGCGGUUUGCUAAGUUGGAUGUGAAAACUCUGGGCUUAACCCAGAGCCUGCAUCCAAAACUGGCAAACUUGAGUACUGGAGGGGAAAGCGGAAUUCCUGGUGUAGCGGUGAAAUGCGUAGAUAUCAGGAGGAACACCGGUGGCGAAGGCGGCUUUCUGGACAGUAACUGACGCUGAGGCGCGAAAGCUAGGGGAGCAAACAGGAUUAGAUACCCCCGUAGUCC
rnacentral:rRNA from 1 species